UACGUAGGGUGCGAGCGUUGUCCGGAAUUAUUGGGCGUAAAGAGCUCGUAGGCGGCUUGUCGCGUCGACUGUGAAAUCCCGCGGCUCAACUGCGGGUCUGCAGUCGAUACGGGCAGGCUAGAGUUCGGUAGGGGAGACUGGAAUUCCUGGUGUAGCGGUGAAAUGCGCAGAUAUCAGGAGGAACACCGAUGGCGAAGGCAGGUCUCUGGGCAUUAACUGACGCUGAGGCGCGAGAGCGUGGGGAGCAAACGGGG
rnacentral:rRNA from 1 species